AUGGGGACAACAGUCCGAAAGGGCUGCUAAUACCGAAUGUUGCAUGGGGUUCGCAUGAACCUCAUGCCAAAGAUGGCCUCUGCAUAUGCUAUCGCUUAGAGAUGGUCCUGCGUCUGAUUAGCUUGUUGGCGGGGUAACGGCCCACCAAGGCGACGAUCAGUAGCCGGUCUGAGAGGAUGAACGGCCACAUUGGGACUGAGACACGGCCCAGACUCCUACGGGAGGCAGCAGUGGGGAAUCUUCCGCAAUGGGCGCAAGCCUGACGGAGCAACGCCGCGUGAGUGAAGAAGGUCUUCGGAUCGUAAAGCUCUGUCGAAGGGGACGAACGUGGAGCCUAUCAACAACGGGCGCUAAUGACGGUACCUUUCAAGAAAGCCACGGCUAACUACGUGCC
rnacentral:rRNA from 1 species